AUGAACGCUUAUGGGGCGCCUGACACAUGCGAGUUUACGGGCGGACGGGUGAGUGUGGCAUUCGAACGGUGCCGGUGACGCCCGAUGGGCAACGUCUUUGUAGAUGCGCCGGGCUGGCUUUUGCAUGAUCAAGGUAGUUGGUAGGGUGUGCGCCUACCAAGCCAAUGACCUAGAGUCGAGUUCAACGACGGAUCGACCACAGUGGGCUUGAAAACGGUCCACACCGCAACAAGCGGGCAGCAGUGAGGAGUAUUGGACAAUGGGCGUAAGCCUGAUCCAGCGACCCUGUUUGGGCGAAGCGGGCCACGUUGUCGUAAAGCUCAAGUUGGGUGGCGCAUUGUGAUGUCGCUUAAUGAAGUUCCGGCAAACUCUGU
rnacentral:rRNA from 1 species